CAAGCACCUCGGUAGGUGAGGCGUCUGCACGGACACAGGCCACUGACCCCGAACGUCGAGAGACGCCCCGGGUCAGGACAGCUCUUCCCGGACCCAAGGGUUGAGCCCAAGUGGCUUCCGGACGAGGAGCGAUCGCAAGCGCGGCGACGCCGGGCGCGGCGGGUCGCGACCAUAGAUCAAGUCCGGAUACGCCGUGCAGUGCCGAAGCUCCGACGAGAGGGGUGUGGC
rnacentral:sRNA from 1 species